AGCCAACGUAAUCUAGCGAGGAAGCAGCUUUUUUAUUUAUCGGAAAUAAGAAUGGCUGCUAUCCGACUUCUCUAUUGUUUUCAACGCGGUCCAGUCGACAUUGCAGGGUCACAGAUGCCCCAGUCUUUUCUUUGAAGAAUCCUUUUCUUCUGAUCCUCUCCCGACUGAUCUUAUUCCUCGUUACUGAAAUCAUGUCUGGCUCGGGGGACAUACCAGCCAUCGAGGGCCCCGGGAUGGGCGCUAUGAGGCUUCCCAUCGGGAUGACCCGUCGAGCCCUCAGCUACGACGAUAACCUGGAGGCCCCCAUGUCCACGCCCCCCCACGACAUCAGCAUCAACAACCUGUGGAGACGACCAAUCAUACCGGAGAGGAAGUUCUCCCGCCUGGCUGAG